UUAAUAAUAAGUAAAUAAGAUAGAAUAUGAGGAGUGGCAUUAUUGCAUUAUUUAAAAACAAUAUGCCUGCCCCGUGAUGUACAGUCCCUCUCCACAACGUUGGAGCGAAAGCCAGGCCUUGAGUCUGCGCCUGCAUAUUCCUACAACUUCUCAGAGUCCUGUGGACGAUGACUGAGGAGAUAAACCAUGCAGGAAACAUCU